UGGGGAAUUUUGCGCAAUGGGCGAAAGCCUGACGCAGCAACGCCGCGUGGGUGAUGAAGGUCUACGGAUCGUAAAACCCUGUCGUCGGGGACGAAGGUGGAGGGGUUAAUAGCCUCUUUGCUUGACGGUACCCGGAGAGGAAGCCCCGGCUAACUCUGUGCCAGCAGCCGCGGUAAUACAGAGGGGGCAAGCGUUAUUCGGAAUUAUUGGGCGUAAAGGGCGCGUAGGCGGCUUUUUAAGUGAGAUGUGUAAUCCCUGAGCUCAACUUGGGAACUGCAUCUCAUACUGGGAGGCUAGAGUACUGGAGAGGGUGGUAGAAUUCCACGUGUAGCGGUGAAAUGCGUAGAGAUGUGGAGGAAUACCAGUGGCGAAGGCGGCCACCUGGACAGUAACUGACGCUGAGGCGCGAAAGUGUGGGUAGCAAACAGG
rnacentral:rRNA from 1 species